ACUUAGAUAGCUUAAAUUUAAAGUUUAACUCUGAAGUAGUUAAUAUAGGUUAAUUCCUUCUAAGUA
rnacentral:tRNA from 1 species